rnacentral:lncRNA from 1 species
CUGCACAAACAACACAACAGCUUCCCAUCGUCACCCGAUACCGUCUAAAAUCCCAACAUCAAGUUCCCUUGCAAAUAGCAAUCCCAAGUUUUCUAGGCCUAACAGGAUCAUCUAAUUAUGCGUCAAACUGUGAGGUCAGGUCGCAUGAACAUUAAUUCGAGCAUGUAAGAACUCGAUAGCACUUCUGAUCUAACACUCAAAGCAGGAAAAAUUCUUAUCACAAGAAGAGAUUUGGUGACACUUACUUGUGCUAAAAGUAUUAAUUCGAACGAGCAUGUAGGAACUCAAUAGCACAUCUGAUCUAACAUUCAAAGCAGGACAAAUUCUAGUGUCAAGAAGAGAUUAGGUGACACUUACUUGUGCUACAGUAUUAAUUCGAGCAAGCAUGUAGGAACUCAAAGCACAUCUGAUCUAACGUCCAAAGCAGGACAAAUUCUUGUGACAAGGAAGAGAUUAGGUGACACUUACUUGUGCUCCUCUUCCGUCCAGGGGACUCCUUUCUUCCUCUCUUGGUCCGAUGCUCGUGCUCCUGAUCUCCUACCACCG